UUCCUGUGAAAGAUCAGGAUGGUAUCGAGUUUGAGAAAAUAAAGGACCAUGUGUCUGAUGGCAGCAUCCCCAAGACGGUGAUGGACAAUCCACCUAGAAAGAUGACAGGCAAGGUGGUCAGUGGGGUCUGCAGACUGAGCACCAUCUCAGAGCAAGAACCAGGCCGGCUAAACACCGAUCCCAGUUCCCAUGAUACCCUGGGUGGAAGUAAUUGGGGUGGAUCCAGCGUCUCCAUGUGUUCUGACAAGUUUAAGAACAGCAGUCGUUUUCCCUCUGAUGAUUCAUACCAGCCGGGCAGUGGAGACGACUGUGCAGGACUUCUUCUCGCCUGUCUGCAUUGUCGUUUCCUUGAGUUUAUGUUACUCCUACCGGAUACAUGCGAGAGGGCUGUGACUCGCUGUUUCCCCUCCUACACGUACAUCGCAGCGUCCAGUGAGAGAGACCAGCAGGGAAUGGAUUGCUGCAAUUACAAGCUGGAACUGGACUGUAACUGCUGUGGCUCCUGUCAGGAUGUAGGAGAACUUAUAGAGCUGGCCAUGGAGAUAUCAGAGGUCUGCUAUCGUUGAGAAAAUGACUUUAAACUAAAUCACAAACAUUAUAAAUCUUACAAACAGAAUUACUCUCUCAUCUUAUUCACAUAUAUGUAAUAAAUUGCCUGCAUUACUAUGUCUGUUUUUAAAAAUAUUGGCCUUCAAGCAGGUAACUAUUGCCCCCCUGUGAAUGUAAGUGAGUUGGUUGUUGGAGGGGAGUAGAGGAGUGCAGGAGUGUGUGUGUGUGUUGAGCCAUUUCCACAUCCUCUUCACUGACUCAUCCAGCAUGUUUUCCGGUGUCACUCCAUAAAGCAUGACGGAGUGGGUGAAGACAUUUAGGAAACCUGGGCUCUAGGAGCAUGCUUUCAAAUAACAACUUCAGCCAUUCACAACAAACUGAGUUCAAUCUGUGUCCAAGUGAAAGCAACACUGAUUCCACACACUUGAGCGGUGUUCAGCUGGCAGAAGGGAAGUUAAUCAGAUGUUAAAAUGUAAGUAUAGAAUGGAAAUAGAUUGAUAUUAUGCAUUAAUACUGUUACAUGAAUUAAAUAACAUUUAUUGCAG
rnacentral:lncRNA from 1 species